GGCCUUUCUAGGGAGUUUUUCCUAGCCACCGUGCUUCUACACCUGCAUUGCUUGCUGUUUGGGCUUUUAGCCUGGGUUUCUGUACAGCACUUUGAGAUAUCAGCUGAUGUACGAAGGGCUAUAUAAAUAAAUUUGAUUUGAUGAUUUAUGAGGCGGUAGGUAGCCUAGUGGUUAGAGUGUAGAGGUGGCAGGUAGCCUAGUGGUUAGAGUGUAGAGGUGGCAGGUAGCCUAGUGGUUAGAGUGUAGAGGUGGCAGGUAGCCUAGUGGUUAGAGCGUAGAGGCGGCAGGUAGCCUAGUGGUUAGAGCGUAGAGGCGGCAGGUAGCCUAGUGGUUAGAGCGUAGAGGCGGCAGGUAGCCUAAUGGUUAGAGCGUUGGACUGAUAACCGAAAGGUUGCAAGAUUGAAUCCCGGAGCUGACAAGAUAAAAA
ensembl:lncRNA